rnacentral:rRNA from 1 species
CAAUAGCGUAUAUUAAAGUUGUUGCAGUUAAAAAGCUCGUAGUUGGAUUUCGGGAUGGUCCGGCUGGUCCGCCGCAAGGCGUGUUACUGACCGGGCUGUCCUUCUUUGCAAAGGCUGCAUGUGCUCUUAACUGAGUGUGUGUAGGAUUUGUGACGUUUACUUUGAAAAAAUUAGAGUGUUCAAAGCAGGCCAGCGCUUGAAUACAUAAGCAUGGAAUAAUGGAAUAGGACUUUGGUUCUAUUUUGUUGGUUUCUGGAACCGAAGUAAUGAUUAAGAGGGACAGUUGGGGGCAUUUGUAUUUCGUCGCUAGAGGUGAAAUUCUUAGAUUGACGAAAGACAAACUGCUGCGAAAGCGUCUGCCAAGGAUGUAUUCAUUGA